UACGUAGGAGGCAAGCGUUGUCCGGAAUUACUGGGCGUAAAGCGCGUGUAGGCGGUCUGAAUAGUCUGCUGUGAAAGCGCCUGGCUUAACCGGGCGAGGUCGGCGGAAACUCUCAGACUGGAGGCCGGUAGAGGGGGGUGGAAUUCCCGGUGUAGUGGUGAAAUGCGUAGAGAUCGGGAGGAACACCUGUGGCGAAGGCGGCCCCCUGGGCCGCGCCUGACGCUGAGACGCGAGCGUAGGGACGCGAAAGGCGGAA
rnacentral:rRNA from 1 species